rnacentral:lncRNA from 1 species
GGACCAGUGGCCAUGAUCUUCGUUUUUUUUGAUGUUGAGCUUCAGACCAUAUUUUGCGCUCUCCUCUUUCACCCUCAAUAAAAGGUUCUUUAAUUCUUCCUCACUUUCUGCCAUCAAGGUUGUGUCAUCUGCAUAUCUGAGGUUGUUGAUAUUUCUUCCAGCGAUCUUAAUUCCAGCUUGGGAUUCAUCCAGCCCAGCCUUUCGCAUGAUGAAUUCUGCAUAUAAGUUGAAUAGGCAGGGAGACAAUAUACAGCCUUGCUGUACUCCUUUCCCAAUUUUGAACCAAUCAGUUGUUCCAUAUCCAGUUCUAACUGUAGCUUCUUGUCCCACAUAGAGAUUUCUCAGGAGACAGAUGAGGUGAUCAGGCACUCCCAUUUCUUUAAGAACUUGCCAUAGUUUGCUGUGGUCAACACAAUCAAAGGCUUUUGUAUAGUCAAUGAAGUAGAUGUCUUUCUGGAACUCUCUAGCUUUCUCCAUAAUCCAGCGCAUGUUUGCAAUUUGGUCUCUGGUUCCUCUGCCUCUUCGAAAUCCAGCUUGCACUUCUGGGAGUUCUCGGUCCACAUACUGCUUAAGCCUGCCUUGUAGAAUUUUAAGCAUAACCUUGCUAGCGUGUGAAAUGAGUGCAAUUGUGCGGUAGUUGGAGCAUUCUUUGGCACUGCCCUUCUUUGGGAUCGGGAUGUAGACUGAUCUUCUCCAAUCCUCUGGCCACUGCUGAGUUUUCCAAAUUUGCUGGCAUAUUGAGUGCAGCACCUUAACAGCAUCAUCAUUUAAAAUUUUUAAUAGUUCAGCUGGAAUAUCAUCACUGAAUAUCAUCACAAUUUUUAAUAGUUCAGCUGGAAUAUCAUCACUUCCACUGGCCUUGUUAUUAGCAAUGCUUUCUAAGGCCCAUUUGACUUCAUUCUCCAGGAUGUCUGGCUCAAGGUCAGCAACCGCACUACCUGGGGUGUACGAGACAUCCAUAUCUUUCUGGUAUAAUUCCUCUGUGUAUUCUUGCCACCUCUUCUUGAUGUCUUCUGCUUCUGUUAGGUCCUUUCCACUAAGGUAAGGGGCUUCAACAAACUAUGGUAACUAAGGAAACUAAGGUAAGGGGCUUCAACAAAUACGGUGGGUCAGCACUGAAGUUUCAGAAUUAGGAUAAUAUAUUGAAAGUAGCUGUCGUUAUUUAUAUACCACCUGUACGUGAUAGUCUAUAUUGAAAUGGUUUGAAGUACACAGUGGCACAAUAUUCCUAACCCAAGAAAGCAGAAAUAUUGAAAGGUGUUUUUUUUCCCUGAUAGAAAGGAGCACUUUUGAUGCAAUGGCUUUAUGCAUAUCAUGAAAUUAUUGCCUGGGAGCUUUCCUUUCCUUUAUAAGAGGCAGAAAUAACUUUUUUGAUUGUGCCUUUGGGCACAGAUGCUUUAGAAUCCUAUUUGCCAAAUUGAUUCCUGAGCAAUUUGCUUUGGGUGAAGAAGUGUGUGUGUGUGUGUGUGUGUGUGUGUGUGUGUGUGUGUGUGUGUGUUAGAUUUCAUAUGAAGGAUCUGGCUGAAGUACACUGCUAGACAGGAUUGGGGGGAAAAACUAUUAUUCUUUUCUGAACCUACUGCCUUCUCUUACGAAAACAACUAAAUAUUAAAUCGCACAUAUCUAUGAUUUAUUCCCAAACUUCUUCAUUUGUCUUCUGCAAAGUAAACAUUAAUUGCUGUGUGAUGCUGUUCACCUUGUGAAUGUUUAAGGGAAACACUCCCACUCACAAACAAGCCACAAAGCCUGUUGCCUAUAAGAAUGAAAGAUUAAGAGCCAGUUCUGUUCUGCAAUAAAAUACUCUGUUGUCAAGACUGAGAUUUCCCUGUGGGGGGAAAUAGUCAGUGUUGCAAGGAAGCUCCUCUGAAGUGUUCAGUUAAAAAAAAAAAAGGUGCUAUUUUGUGAUGGUGUAAAAAGUUUUUCACCUGAGGACAAAAUUAUCUUGAAUCUCUAUUGUGUUAGCCAAUAAAGCCAUACAGCUGAGAAUAUCAAAGCUGAGGUUUGAUUCAUCUGCUUUUCUUGCCAGCUAGUGUAAUCACAGCCAACUGGGUUUGCAGCAGAACUUUUAAUUUGUUCCAGGACUGCCAUGUUUUUCAUCAAGCCAGGAGUAUGGUGAUGCUGGAGUCAACUGCAUGAUUGACCACCUUCAUCCAGGGGUGCCCUCCAGAUGUUGCUGGAUGUGGCUUUUGGGUAUUCGUUUGAAAAUAUCUGUAUAGGGGGAGAGAAAGAGUUAAUAGGUAGACCAAUAGAAAAGCCAGAGGCGGAGCCUACCUGUUUAUAAAAGGGCUUAGCCCGAGGUUUAGUUAGUUAGUUAGUUAGUUAGUUAGGUGGUUGGUUGGUUGGUUAGUUAGUUAAAGGCAGUUGGGAGACAGAUGGAAAUAGAGAGAAAGUUAGUGCAGUGGGUUCUUGUGUGAGGGGAGGUAGAAGAGUUAGAGACAGAAUAAAAUAAGACUAAGAGGGCAAAGGGUAACAGCAUUUCGAAUGCAUUUAAAGUUUAUCUGUGUUUGCAAUAAAAUACAACCUUCAUUGUUAACUUAAGAACCUGACUGAGACUAAGUGAUUUACCAGGGAGGACCUGGUUGGUGGCAGCGGAUAGUGGUGUACGGGUCAAUAGUCCUUGAGACGACUGGGGGCUCCGUACGAAUGCCACACUGGACUAUUCCUGCUUGACCAUUAGUCAUUCUGGCUGGGGCUAAUGACCACCCUGAUAUAUCCAUUCUGCAAGGAUGCCAUCAGAUAUGAAGUCAACCGUCACAAUGUGUUAGGGAAAAUAAUAUUCCGAAUCAGAACCUAUCUGAUCGCCAUAUUAAAUGUAUGGGUAUUAAUAGUUCAGGGUGUGUAGGGUGUUGGGGAGGGGUAGUACCUCUAGCAGGGGACACAUUGCGCUUCUUCUGCAGUCGUUUGUCCACUUAGGAGAGCCAGUGUGGUGUAGUGGUUAAGAGCGGUAGUCUCGUAAUCUGGUGAACCGGGUUCGCUUCUCCGCUCCUCCACAUGCAGCUGCUGGGUGACCUUGGGCUAGUCAGUCACACUUCUCUGAAGUCUCUCAGCCUCACUCACCUCACAGAGUGUUUGUUGUGGGGGAGUGAAGGGAAAGGAGAAUGUUAGCCACUUUGAGACUCCUUCGGGUAGUGAUAAAGCGGGAUAUCAAAUCCAAACUACUACUACUACUACUACUACUACUACUACUCUUCUUCUUCUUCUUCUUCUUCUUCUUCUUCUUCUUCUUCUUCUUCUUCUUCUUCACUUUGGGCCUCCACCUUUCACUUAGCCCUCACCUGUUGGCUCCUAGAAGCUGUCAGCAUGCAACAGUGGCCACACUCCGGGAACAGCUUCAACUGGCUGGCUAAACCAGGUGAGGGUAGCCACUGGGUCUCAAACCUUCGGUGAGUUAGGGAUUUCCCCUGCAGGCUCUGGCAGAUGGAGCGGACGUGACCAACAGUGGGUCCAGUGGUCAAGAAGGUAGUUUUGCUGUAGAGGGAAGUGAGGGGUAGAUGGGACUUGUAAACCUAGAAAGGUAGCCCACCCAGGAGAAGGAAAAACUCUGAUCCUAGACCUCCAUUGCCUUGUGGGGAAGAAAGGGCUAAGGAGUAAACCCCACAUUUUAGUACCUAAAAUGGUUGGAUGGCGCCUUGUUUGCCUCCUUCCAGCAACUCCUACAAACACCAAACAUAUUGCUCUGCUUUCCUUUGGACCACAUCAGUGAGGCUGAAGGCAGGGAGGGUCUUGUUGUCUGGGCAGCCCAGGACCUCCAUACACACUGCCCAGGCUUGCAUCAUGGAGAGCUAGCCCUCCCAGUUUGAGGGAUAUUGGUAAGCAUCCCCUCGAUUCCUUCAUCCAAGUCAUUUAUAAAGACGUUGAACCACAAUGGGCCCAGGACAAACUUACACAUAUGACAACUUUUUUCAAGGUCUUUAAGAAUU